CCAGAGGGUCGGGCGACCGCGGGCGGGCAACCGCGCGAGGAAAGUCCGGGCUCCACGAAACGACGGUGCCGGGUAACGCCCGGCGGGGGCGACCCUAGGGAAAGUGCCACAGAGAGCAGACGGCUAAGGCUUCGGCCCAGUCAGCGUGAAAGGGUGCGGUAAGAGCGCACCGCGCGCCUGGUAACAGGGGCGGCACGGCAAACCCCACCGGGAGCAAGACCGAAUAGGGACGGCACAUGCGCCUCGUUUCGGCGCGUCGUCCGGGUUGGUCGCUCGAGCGCGUCGGCAACGGCGCGCCUAGAGGAAUGGUCGCCCAUCCGCCCGCCGCGCAAGCGAACGGGCGGUGGACAGAACCCGGCUUACAGACCCUCUGGCAUC
rnacentral:RNase_P_RNA from 2 species